GCAAGUCGAGCGGAAACGAGAAGUAGCUUGCUACUUCGGCGUCGAGCGGCGGACGGGUGAGUAAUGCCUAGGAAAUUGCCCUGAUGUGGGGGAUAACCAUUGGAAACGAUGGCUAAUACCGCAUAAUGCCUUCGGGCCAAAGAGGGGGACCUUCGGGCCUCUCGCGUCAGGAUAUGCCUAGGUGGGAUUAGCGAGUGGGUGAGGUAAUGGCUCACCAAGGCGACGAGCCCUAGCUGGUCUGAGAGGAUGAGC
rnacentral:rRNA from 1 species